rnacentral:rRNA from 1 species
GAUGAACGCUGGCGGCGUGCUUAACACAUGCAAGUCGAACGGAAAGGCUCCUGCUUGCAGGGGUACUCGAGUGGCGAACGGGUGAGUAACACGUGGGUGAUCUGCCCUGCACUUCGGGAUAAGCCUGGGAAACUGGGUCUAAUACCGGAUAGGACGAUGGUUUGGAUGCCAUUGUGGAAAGUUUUUCGGUGUGGGAUGAGCUCGCGGCCUAUCAGCUUGUUGGUGGGGUAAUGGCCUACCAAGGCGUCGACGGGUAGCCGGCCUGAGAGGGUGUACGGCCACAUUGGGACUGAGAUACGGCCCAGACUCCUACGGGAGGCAGCAGUGGGGAAUAUUGCACAAUGGGCGCAAGCCUGAUGCAGCGACGCCGCGUGGGGGAUGACGGCCCUCGGGUUGUAAACUCCUUUCGCUAGGGACGAAGCGCAAGUGACGGUACCUGGAGAAGAAGCACCGGCUAACUACGUG